UUAUGUAAAUUACUGGGUUGGUGGGUAUAAGUCGCCUACCUCUAUAUGUUUUAGUAGUGAAUUAUGUAGGUAUAGAAGAUAUAGAGACCGAGAGGAUAAGAACAUUAAGAACGGUCGAUGUGGCUUGUAGGAUGUACAGCGAACUGCAAGUGCUCCACUUGGUAUGAAUAGGAUUCUUGGUAAGAAUAUAGGUAGGAAUACUGGUCGCAUAUUGAGAUACCCUCCUCCAAUUCUAGGUAUAGGGAGAGCCGGCAUAGCUUUAUUUGACGUUCAUAAACGCAUUGUAAUAUAGGUAUGGCUACUUGAUCUUUAUCUUUAAUAGAAUUCAUUCAUAAAGCGGUUUUGCAAUUUUGCAGCCCGGUGCACCUAUCUACCUAUGUCAAGUAAGAAGUUAGUCUCUGAACUCCGGCUACAAUGGGGAUGGAUGACAAUGACAGGAAAAAUUACUGUCACGAUAAAGGAAGUGGGUUAAAGUGUGACGUAGUUUAAGUGGAGCGAACUGUGUAAAAACAGCAAGUACCUACUCGGCGUGCGAUCUCGCGAUUAGCAAAUUUUUUACAACAUGGCCACUAGUGUUGUGAUGCCACUGAUGCCUUCAGAAUCCCACGAGCUAAGUAUCUGCUCCGUUCCCAUUCCCUAUGCUAUGUUACAUUUCGCUUAGCUAUUUAUUUCAGGCUACUGUAUUUAAUUUUAUUGCUUAUUAAGAGCUAACGAGUCAAACACUAGGCUGAACUAGUAUACAUUGUCACCUAAACUGGGUUCCCAGUGCGCUAAAUUUGCAUGGUUUCGGCAAGCUAUUGGAAUCACCCGAACCCGUUGUCUUGCACCGCGACCCGCGACCGCGCGUCGCGUUCAGUUCAGUAGCAACGUGGAUUUCGCACAGUUCGAACGCACGCGACCGACGCGAGCCCGUAACUUCUCUUGUUAUCAUCGUCAAAAUCUACUUCUAAACUAAACUUAUUGAAUUAAGCUUCAUUCAAAUAGUAAUUCUGAUUGUUCUGGUCAGAACAAUGCUAUAAGUUUCACCGUUUAAGUUGAGAUUCGUUUGCCCACGCGUUUCGAGUGUUUACAAAGUUUGUUUGAUUUGGUGGCAAGUUAAAAAGAACGUAUUUAACAGUGCUAGUAGUGUGUGUUUGUGCCCGUGAACUUGUGGAUUCUGUGCUGGAUUGACAAAAAUAGGUAAAUCUCCUGCUGCCAGCUAGGUCUUCAGCGGGACCGCUGGAGGCGCGGAAGGUCCGGUUUCAAGAGUGCUGGAGGAGUGACGGCCUCAAGCUGGCCUCGUCGGGCUCAGGCAGCCCGGCGCCGCCGGUGCAGUGGCGCGUGCGACGAAAGCCAG